AUGUAAUGUAAUUCCCACAAAAUUAAUGCAUCAUAUCCCAUUAGAACUUUAUAGUUAAGCAUUCUUGGGAUAGAUUAGUACUAGAAUGGGUGACCUCCCAGGAAAUCCUACUGUUUUACAUG
rnacentral:rRNA from 1 species